UACGGGGGGGGGCAAGCGUUGUUCGGAAUUACUGGGCGUAAAGGGCUCGUAGGCGGCCAACUAAGUCGGACGUGAAAUCCCCAGGCUCAACCUGGGAACUGCGUCCGAUACUGGAUGGCUUGAAUCCGGGAGAGGGAUGCAGAAUUCCAGGUGUAGCGGUGAAAUGCGUAGAUAUCUGGAGGAAUACCGGUGGCGAAGGCGGCAUCCUGGACCGGCAUUGACGCUGAGGCGCGAAAGCUAGGGGAGCAAACGGG
rnacentral:rRNA from 1 species